UGUUAAGAGGUCUCUUUGUUUUUAUUAUUAUUUGUUUAAUCUUAAAAUUAUUUAUGAUUUCUUAUAUACUAGUAUCACGUGUACACUAGUAUCAAAUACUAAGAAGCAUUCUAGAAAUAUUGAGUAAAAUUUUGUUAAAAAAAAUAAAAUAAAAAUUAAAGACUACUAACUUCUUUUUUUUUUUUUGAGGAAAUGUGUACUACUAACUUAGACUAACACUUCCUAAUAAAAAAAUAAAAAUUAAAGUAAGGAGUUAAAAGGAGUUUCUAGUAGCAGUUCAGUAGUAGUUUGAAUAGUUUCGUCUUCCUCCUCCAAUAAUCCAAAACCCUUGAAAUUCCAUGGUUUCCCUCCCAAGUUUUUCACCACCUAAUUAGAGGCGAUCAUUUUUAAGAUUGUGUCCACCAUCAUCUAAGGCCGCCACCGUCGUCUAGUUUACAAGGCUGCCACCAUCUGAAGCGUACUCGGGUCACGACUAUCAACCACUUCGUUUCAGGCAAUUGUACAAAGCCAUAAUACAAGCAAUUGCACUACUUUACAUUUGAUCGAUUUCCCGCCACAACCAGAAAAUUCUUAUUCUUUUUAAGGUACAUGGCCAGAAAGAAUAAAAAAGUACAACCGAAUGAUGAUUCUGAAGAGUCAAGUUGUGAGGAGAGAGGUCGUACUGUACUUAAAAAGGUGGGGAAGACUAUCCACGUUGGCACCCAAAUCCCAUUACAAUGGCAUCCAAGUAAAAGAAUUCCCACUGGUGAACACAAGACUCAUUUUUCCACCUACAUUGGUGUAAUGGCACGUGAAAGAAUAAGCAUUGCCUACAAAGAUUGGCAUGAAGUUCCAAUAGGAGUGUUAGAUGAAGUUUAUGGAUUUAUCUCGAUAAGAUAUACUAAUCAUGUAUUAGAAUGGCAAGAUCAUUUUAUAUUUAAGUUUAUUUUUUGUGUACUAACUUAUAAAUUUGUUUUAUUUGAACAUAGAAGGGGUUUUACGUUCCUGAGAAUCGCAAAGGUUAUGUACUAACACGAGCAUCGAUUCAAUGGAAAGCUUUUAAGACUAGAUUAAGAACCAAGUGGCUAUAUGAAAGAGAUAAAACACUUCGUCAAAAGCCACCACACAAGUAUCCUUUUAUAUGUGAAUCGGUGUAAU